rnacentral:rRNA from 1 species
CCAGACAGCCAGGAUGUUGGCUUAGAAGCAGCCAUCAUUUAAAGAAAGCGUAAUAGCUCACUGGUCGAGUCGGCCUGCGCGGAAGAUGUAACGGGGCUAAACCAUGCACCGAAGCUGCGGCAGCGACGCUUAUGCGUUGUUGGGUAGGGGAGCGUUCUGUAAGCCUGUGAAGGUGUACUGUGAGGUAUGCUGGAGGUAUCAGAAGUGCGAAUGCUGACAUAAGUAACGAUAAAGCGGGUGAAAAGCCCGCUCGCCGGAAGACCAAGGGUUCCUGUCCAACGUUAAUCGGGGCAGGGUGAGUCGACCCCUAAGGCGAGGCCGAAAGGCGUAGUCGAUGGGAAACAGGUUAAUAUUCCUGUACUUGGUGUUACUGCGAAGGGGGGACGGAGAAGGCUAUGUUGGCCGGGCGACGGUUGUCCCGGUUUAAGCGUGUAGGCUGGUUUUCCAGGCAAAUCCGGAAAAUCAAGGCUGAGGCGUGAUGACGAGGCACUACGGUGCUGAAGCAACAAAUGCCCUGCUUCCAGGAAAAGCCUCUAAGCAUCAGGUAACAUCAAAUCGUACCCCAAACCGACACAGGUGGUCAGGUAGAGAAUACCAAGGCGCUUGAGAGAACUCGGGUGAAGGAACUAGGCAAAAUGGUGCCGUAACUUCGGGAGAAGGCACGCUGAUAUGUAGGUGAAGUCCCUCGCGGAUGGAGCUGAAAUCAGUCGAAGAUACCAGCUGGCUGCAACUGUUUAUUAAAAACACAGCACUGUGCAAACACGAAAGUGGACGUAUACGGUGUGACGCCUGCCCGGUGCCGGAAGGUUAAUUGAUGGGGU